CACGUAGGUGGGUCGUUAAGUCAGGGGUGAGAUCCCGGAGCUCAACUCCGGAACUGCCUUUGAUACUGGCGACCUUCGAGUCCGGGAGAGGUGAGUGGAAUUGCGAGUGUAGAGGUGAAAUUCGUAGAUAUUCGCAAGAACACCAGUGGCGAAGGCGGCUCACUGGCCCGGUACUGACACUGAGGUGCGAAAGCGUGGGGAGCAAACA
rnacentral:rRNA from 1 species